CAGGCAUUCCCACCCUGAGAGGAAAUGGUAAGGUGGAACUGCCCAGGAUCCAUAGCUGGCCUUGUGUUCCUCAGCUAAAGAAGCUGAUACUGGGACCAGUGUGGAGAACUACCAGAAAAAUGCUUGCUGCCAAGUCUGGAGACCUGGGCUUGACCUCUGGACCCCACAAGGCGGAAGGAGAGAACUGAUUUACAGAGUUAUCCUGUGACUUCCAGAAGAAUGCUGUGCUAGAUCCUGUGUGCACACAUAACAAACACGUUAAUGUCAAAGAGAGAAAUCUAUUAAAAAGACAGUACUUUAAAAUGAAAAGUAACAGUAGCAAUAAUAAUGGCCAUUAUAGGGGCUGGAGAGAUGGCUCAGUGGUUAAGAGGCAUUGGCUGCCCUCUCAGAGGAUCCAGGUUCGAUUCCAAGCACCCACAUAGUGGUUCAGAACCAUCUGUAACUCCAGGUGCAGGUCUUAUGGUUUCUACAGAGACUGUACAUACUUGGCGCACCAAUAUAUGCAGGCAAGACACCUGUAACACAUAAAAUAAAUAAUAAAAAUAAAAUUAAAGUAGCCAACACAUUCUGGAAACUUACCCUAAAUGCGUUAUGUACAAGCUUAUAAUCUUAAUACUCUCAAGCCUGUUAGCUCAGGUGCCAUAAUUAAUCCACUGCUUUGAUGCUAAAGCAGAGGCAUGAGGAGGCAAAGAGAAUGUCUUAGGUGGCAGUGGCAGGUGACAGAUGAGGUGGUAGCCUGUCCAAGGAUUAAAAGCAUUGGUUUUUUUAUCUCAGA